rnacentral:rRNA from 1 species
GACGAACGCUGGCGGCGUGCUUAACACAUGCAAGUCGAACGGAAAGGCCCUGCUUUUGUGGGGUGCUCGAGUGGCGAACGGGUGAGUAACACGUGAGUAACCUGCCCUUGACUUUGGGAUAACUUCAGGAAACUGGGGCUAAUACCGGAUAGGAGCUCCUGCUGCAUGGUGGGGGUUGGAAAGUUUCGGCGGUUGGGGAUGGACUCGCGGCUUAUCAGCUUGUUGGUGGGGUAGUGGCUUACCAAGGCUUUGACGGGUAGCCGGCCUGGGAGGGUGACCGGCCACAUUGGGACUGGGAUACGGCCCAGACUCAUACGGGAGGCAGGAGUGGGGAAUAUUGCACAAUGGGCGGAAGCCUGAGGCAGGAACGCCGGGUGCGGGAGGACGGCAUUCGGGUUGUAAACCGCUUUCGCCUGUGACGAAGCGUGAGGGACGGGAAUGGGGAAAGAAGCACCGGCUAACUACGU